rnacentral:rRNA from 1 species
UUGGGCGUAAAGGGCUCGUAGGCGGUUCGUCGCGUCCGGUGUGAAAGUCCAUCGCUUAACGGUGGAUCCGCGCCGGGUACGGGCGGGCUUGAGUGCGGUAGGGGAGACUGGAAUUCCCGGUGUAACGGUGGAAUGUGUAGAUAUCGGGAAGAACACCAAUGGCGAAGGCAGGUCUCUGGGCCGUUACUGACGCUGAGGAGCGAAAGCGUGGGGAGCGAACAGGAUUAGAUACCCUGGUAGUCCACGCCGUAAACGGUGGAUGCUGGAUGUGGGGCCCGUUCCACGGGUUCCGUGUCGGAGCUAACGCGUUAAGCAUCCCGCCUGGGGAGUACGGCCGCAAGGCUAAAACUCAAAGAAAUUGACGGGGGCCCGCACAAGCGGCGGAGCAUGCGGAUUAAUUCGAUGCAACGCGAAGAACCUUACCUGGGCUUGACAUGUUCCCGACGAUCCCAGAGAUGGGGUUUCCCUUCGGGGCGGGUUCACAGGUGGUGCAUGGUCGUCGUCAGCUCGUGUCGUGAGAUGUUGGGUUAAGUCCCGCAACGAGCGCAACCCUCGCCCCGUGUUGCCAGCGGAUUAUGCCGGGAACUCACGGGGGACCGCCGGGGUUAACUCGGAGGAAGGUGGGGAUGACGUCAGAUCAUCAUGCCCCUUACGUCCAGGGCUUCACGCAUGCUACAAUGGCCGGUACAACGGGAUGCGACAGUGCGAGCUGGAGCGGAUCCCUGAAAACCGGUCUCAGUUCGGAUCGCAGUCUGCAACUCGACUGCGUGAAGGCGGAGUCGCUAGUAAUCGCGAAUCAGCAACGUCGCGGUGAAUGCGUUCCCGGGCCUUGUACACACCGCCCGUCAAGUCAUGAAAGUGGGCAGCACCCGAAGCCGGUGGCCUAACCCCUGCGGGAGGGAGCCGUC